rnacentral:tRNA from 1 species
AUCGCACUCGUCGAGAACAAUGCGCGGCUGGCGGCGGAAAUCGCCGUGGCACUGGCGGACUGAGCCGCCGGUCGGGGGUGCCAUGCCCUUGUGUGAGGC